rnacentral:rRNA from 1 species
UACGUAGGGUGCAAGCGUUAAUCGGAAUUACUGGGCGUAAAGCGUGCGCAGGCGGUUUUGUAAGUCUGACGUGAAAUCCCCGGGCUCAACCUGGGAAUUGCGUUGGAGACUGCAUCGCUAGAAUCAUGGAGAGGUGAGUGGAAUUCCGAGUGUAGAGGUGAAAUUCGUAGAUAUUCGGAAGAACACCAGUGGCGAAGGCAGCCCCCUGGGUCAAGAUUGACGCUCAUGCACGAAAGCGUGGGGAGCAAACAGG